GAGAGCUGAAUAGCAAUAAACUUUUAAUUUAUUAAUUACAGAUUUUUCUGUUCUUG
rnacentral:tRNA from 1 species